GAUGAACGCUGGCGGCGUGCCUAAUACAUGCAAGUCGAGCGAACAGAUGAGGAGCUUGCUCCUCUGACGUUAGCGGCGGACGGGUGAGUAACACGUGUAUAACCUACCUAUAAGACUGGGAUAACUUCGGGAAACCGGAGCUAAUACCGUAUAAUAUAUUGAACCGCAUGGUUCAAUAGUGAAAGACGGUUUUGCUGUCACUUAUAGAUGGUUCCGCGCCGCAUUAGCUAGUUGGUAAGGUAACGGCUUACCAAGGCAACGAUGCGUAGCCGACCUGAGAGGGUGAUCGGCCACACUGGAACUGAGACACGGUCCAGACUCCUACGGGAGGCAGCAGUAGGGAAUCUUCCGCAAAGGGCGAAAGCCUGACGGAGCAACGCCGCGUGAGUGAUGAAGGUCUUCGGAUCGUAAAACUCUGUUAUUAGGGAAGAACAAAUGUGUAAGUAACUAUGCACGUCUUGACGGUACCUAAUCAGAAAGCCACGGCUAACUACGUG
rnacentral:rRNA from 1 species